AGAAAAAGGAUCCUUCAUCGUGUAUUUAGAAAUGCUAAAUGGCCCGGGAAACUACUUAGAGAUUUCUCAUGCUCAGAUCCUCAUUUUCUCUUGCGUGGUCAUCCCUAGGACAGCUCUGGAAAACAAGGCAGCCAUUUUCUCUUAAGCUGUUACACUCAGCAAACCAGAUUGAAGUGCUUGAUACGCUGCUGCUCUCUUCCGUGCCUGCAGCACUCGGAGGGGAAAAACAGCCAAUCACCCACAAACAGGAAGGAGUUCAGUGGUGUAGCAAGGAGUCAGACAAGCACCAUAUGGGCAGAAGUGAGGGAAGACAAAAGCAAGGGUCGGACCAAUGCUCUCAGCAGCAGCAAGAGUUGCACUGGCUCAGCUGUGUUGUCUAAUCAAAGGUCAACCAUGGAAGGAGCCAGCUCCCCUUUGCCCACAGAAGGAAGCGGAGGGCACAAGGACAGACAGCCGAGGGCAGCAGCAGCUCACCCCUGCUGUGCCAUCCCUCCUCCAUGAACAGAUGCUGCAGUUGUGAAGAACGAGACCCCCA